CUCGUCCUAGCCUCCUGGUCCCAAGUGCCUGCCCCUCCCCCUCUCCUGCGCCCCCACCUCACUGCUGCCCCCCCCCCCCCCCGUCACCUCUAGUCCCUGCGCACCCCUUAGCCCUCUCAGAGUCCCCAUCUGGGCUUCAACCCCUUCACCCCUCACUCCCCUCCCCACCCCCCCCAGAGCUCCUUCCUGGGGCUCCAUCCCUAACCCACUGCUGAACCUUCCAGCAUUUCCGGCAUUUCCACCCCUACUCCGGCCGAAUGGUCCUUCUGAGCGGAAGUUCCCUUCUCCAGGGUCAGCUGGCCCGUUCAACAAGUAUAGGGAGAACUCCUGUAUGCCAGGCAUUGUUCUAGACGUGGAGGUAGUGAGCAGAUUUCCCUGCCUGCCUCCAGCAUCCUAGGGGGUAACCGACAAUGAUCAGUAUGAGUAAGUAACCUGGGCGGUAGGAGCACGAAGAUGGGAGCAGGGAGUCCCGACCGAAGAUGAGAGUCGCGUGGCCUAGGGUGGUGGAGUCGAGCAGUGAGAAGUGCCUGGAUGUGUCCUGAAGGUAGAGCCAGCAGGACCAGGGAAGAGGGGGCCGAACGGACAUCUGGGAGUCAUCAGCGCAGAGGUGGUCUUGAAAGCCUGGGCAUAAGACGAAUCUCCACGGCAGGGGGAGGACACAACAGGACCCCCAGGGGAUCCUGGAGCCCCCAAUGCAGAAAAGCUGGGAAGAAGAAGAUCCAGCAGAGGGGGCCAAAGAGGGGAGAUCGCCGAGGUGGGAGGGAAAUGGAUUCGUGGGAGCUGGGUGCAGAAAGUGAGACAGGAGGAAGGUGCGGUCAGCUGGAGCACAUGUUGCCAGGAGGCCACAAAAGAUGAGGAUUUAGAAACAGGGAGGCCACCGGGGUCUUUAUAUAGGUGGAAAUCAUCAGAGUUGGCGCGGCUUGAAGCAACCCCAGGUGGGCAUCGUCCCCACCUCGGCUUUUCUCCCUCUGCUGCGUUUCCAGAGGUGGCCAGAGUGAACCUUAUUAAAGCACACAUUUGAGAUCGUGUCACUCGAGUACACUCCAGAUAAAGUGCAAACUCCGUAGCAGGGUGCGUAGAUGAAUAGCUCAACCUGCCCUUUUGCUGUUCUCCUCCCGAUGCACAGAACUAAGAACCACCCCGUGCCCCCAAUUCCCUGCUCCUCCGCUCCCCACUCGGCCAACUUCACUCAACCUUCCAGACUCGGCCAGGACUCCCCUUUCCUCCGGCGGGGCUUCCCUGACCUCCUAGGCUGGGUUAAGUGUCCUGUGCAUCCCCACAGUCCCUUCUGCGUCACCCCAUUACCACAUUCUGUCUGUCGUAUGUGAUUUUCUGUUUGCAUCUGUCCCCACCAUAGUGGGAGCUCUUCGAGAAAGGGCGGGGGUUGUAUCGCUUUCGCGUGUAUGUCCCCAGCCUCGUGGUAUACACACAGGAACUAUCCAGUAAGCGUCCGUUGAGCCUGCAGGCAUCGGUUCUGCCUCUCUUCCCUUCUUGACCAUGACCGGGGUUGAUCUACGUGGCCUUCCUGAGACAGAGGACUAAAAGCCUCGUGCUUCACUCCCAGUGCCUGGUAUUUGGUAGGCACAAAAUAAAUAUGGGACAAGUGAAUAUCAAACCGUAUAGCCAAAAACAAAAAUAGUAAGGGCCCGAGGUUCUUAGACCAUAGAGGUAUUGAUUAAAAAAAACCCAAAAAACAUUGGGUCUGUUUUUAUAAAUUUUCAUAUAGGCUACUGAGCUUGUCUCCAAGAGUUCUCUAAAACAGAAGUUAAAAUCCUUACCUCUGAGCUCUCCACCUAUCUGUUGGUAAUACCUUCUCUAUUUUUUUUUUUUUUACUAUUUUUUUAAGUUAGAAAAAUACUAUGUGGUCAUAGUU